rnacentral:misc_RNA from 1 species
UUGGAUCAUUACAGAAAUGGAGUGGGCUUCGGCCCACCUGCGCUGCUCGCAGCGUAGUAAUUUCCAAACAUUUUGUCAACUGUUCUGUCUCUGGCGGCGGGGCAAGUAUGGCGUAUGCAAGUACUGCCAUAGUUGCCUGUCAGUCUGGUGUAACAGCCUGGCCGUGGACAAACCGCCAAUUGAUUAAACAAACCAACAUUUACAAUUUUUCAGUCUGAAGUAAACUUGUAUGUAAAAUUACAAACAACUUUUGGCAACGGAUCUCUUGGCUCUC